rnacentral:rRNA from 1 species
CCCGGGCCUUGUACACACUGCCCGUCACACCACGAAAGUUGGCAAUACCCGAAGCCGGUGGCCUAACCCGCAAGGGAGGGAGCCGUCGAAGGUAGGGUCGAUGAUUGGGGUG